rnacentral:lncRNA from 1 species
UAUGAUGUAAAAGAUGAUAUAGAUAUUGAAGUUCCAUCGGCAAAGUGAAAUAAUAACAAUAAUUUUCUUGUAAGCAAAUACAAAAAGUGAUUGUAUUUUCAAAAUUUAUAACCAAAAUGCUAAUAAAUAACAAAAGUUUAUUUUAUAAAGUCAAUAAUAAAUUACCGGUGGAGACUAAAUUUAUUAUUUGUUGAAAGUAUGUACACUAAAGAGACCAAAAUGGUAUUUUAACUUUAAAAAGAAGUCACAUUUUAACUUUAAAAAGAAGUCACAUCUUUAGUAACAGUACUUCCAUUAGAGAAGAUAAAGGACACUGCUACGGGGACACCAAACGAAACUGAAAAAACUUAAAUGAGAAAAACGCCACCAAACCAAAAGAAAACACAAUAACAAUUAAUCCUGAGGUCUGAGGAGACCAAUUAUCUACUUCAACUAUAUAGGACUGUCUAUGAAAGCAAAGAAGAAGGAACACAAAAAGAUUUAGGAAGCUUAGAAUAAAUUUUGAUAGCACAUCUCAUUUCACUUUCCAUUUUGCCAAAUAGUCAAAUACCAACCCUAUAACCAAGAAAUGGCCACAAGCUUUCAAUUCACUAGACAACCUCCACAUUUAAGAGGUCUUUGUAAUUAUUUACAAAUGCCAAGUGGAGCUCCCUUUCUGAGCUCUUUUGUUCAGUGUGUGCAUAUCUUUGGACUCCCCAUUUUCAUAACAGUGUUAACACAUGGAAAUCAGUAUCUUGCCUCAAACGCAAGUAUCAACCUAUUGUUAAAAGUAAGAAGAACAAUGAUUGCACUGAAUAAACAAAAAAAAUAUAUAUAUUAAUCUUUUCUAAAAAAAGAAAAUGAAAUGGAUGACAUACUGAUUUACAAUUCAGAUCUCUAAAGUUAGACUAUCGAAACAAUCAGGCAUCAGAUCUCUACAUGUUAACUUGGUCCAUAAUAUUAUCACUUCAAUACAUAAUAUAAGUGACUAAAUCCAAAUACAAAUAUACAAAAAGAAAAUUCGAAAUUAAAUAGACAACAGCUGCUUGAGAAC